CGGCCGAAUCAUAUUGAAACACUAGUUCCCGUACGAUCCACCAAAAGUUAAACACCGUCGAGCCUGGUCAGUAUCUAGAUGGGUGACUGCUUGGGAAGACCAGGAGUU